ACUAUUUUGGCAGAAUAUAAGUGCAACAGAUUUAGAAUCUGUAAAUAUGAUUAAUAAUCAUAGAUAGUA
rnacentral:tRNA from 1 species